UGGCGAUGAUCUCUCUGCAGUAGUCAUAUSCKAGKMUYAMAGCWUWMGCCAYAGCAAGUGCCUGUACAAACUGAAUUAAAGUGAAACCGCAAAAGGCUCAUUAAAUCAGUUGUGAUUUACUUGAGUAUUCCAUUGAAAAAUGGAUGUGGAUAACUGUGGUAAUUCUAGAGCUAAUACAUGCAAUUCAGUCCCGACCAGUGAUGGAAAGGACGCUUUUAUUAGAUCAAAACCAAUCGGUCGGCGGCAACGUCGUUCCGUUUGCUUUGAUGACUCCGGAUAUUACCUGCAGAUCGUAUUGUCAUUGUACAGACGACACCUCUUUCAAAUGCCUGACUUAUCAACCGUCGAUGGUAGACUCUGUGUCUACCAUGGUUGUAACGGGUAACGGGGAAUUAGGGUUCGAUUCCGGAGAGGGAGCCUGCGAAACAGCUACCACAUCCAAGGAAGGCAGCAGGCACGCAAAUUACCCACUCCCGGCACGGGGAGGUAGUGACAAAAAAUAACGAUACGGGACUCAUCCGAGGCCCCGUAAUCGGAAUGAGUACACUCUAAAUCCUUUAACAAGUACCCAUUGGAGGGCAAGUCUGGUGCCAGCAGCCGCGGUAAUUCCAGCUCCAAUAGCGUAUAUUAAAGCUGUUGCGGUUAAAAAGCUCGUAGUUGGUUCUGCGUUUCAUGCUGUUGGUUCACUGCUUGUCGGUGAAACUGGCAUGUCAUGGAAUGUCCUGUCGGUGGCUUCCGGGCCGUCGGUCGAGAGUGGCUUAUGCUCGCUUUCGCCGACGCGUCCCCGGUUGCCGACGAAAUCCUGCCGCGGUGCUCUUCAUUGAGUGUCGAGGUAGGCCGACACGUUUACUUUGAACAAAUUAGAGUGCUUAAAGCAGGCUAGAACCUGCCUGAAUAGUGGUGCAUGGAAUAAUAGAAUAGGACCUUGGUUCUAUUUUGUUGGUUUUCGGAACACAAGGUAAUGAUCAAUGUGGACAGGCGGGGGCAUUCGUAUUGCGACGUUAGAGGUGAAAUUCUUGGAUCGUCGCAAGACGGACUAGAGCGAAAGCAUUUGCCAAGUAUGUCUUAAUUGAUCAAGAACGAAAGYUAGAAGUWCGAAGCGAUSRGAUACGCCUCUCUUCUUUCAUCACACACCAAGCGAUCCGCCGGCGUUCAUUAAAUGACUCCGCGGGCAGCUUCCCGGGAAACCAAAGCUUUUGGGUUCCGGGGGAAGUAUGGUUGCAAAGCUGAAACUUAAAGGAAUUGACGGAAGGGCACCACCAGGAGUGGAGCCUGCGGCUUAAUUUGACUCAACACGGGAAACCUCACCAGGCCCGGACAUUGGAAGGAUUGACAGAUUGAUAGCUCUUUCUUGAUUCAGUGGGUAGUGGUGCAUGGCCGUUCUUAGUUGGUGGAACGAUUUGUCUGGUUAAUUCCGAUAACGAACGAGACUCUAGCCUACUAAAUAGGCGAUCCCGGUAUCCUGAACUACCGGCGAUUUACAUACUUCUUAGAGGGACAGGCGGCGUUUAGCCGCACGAGAUUGAGCAAUAACAGGUCUGUGAUGCCCUUAGAUGUUCUGGGCCGCACGCGCGCUACACUGAAGGAAUCAGCGUGUGUCUCCCUGGCCGAAAGGUCCGGGUAACCCGCUGAACCUCCUUCGUGCUAGGAAUUGGGGUUUGAAAUUAUUUCCCAUGAACGAGGAAUUCCCAGUAAGCGCGGGUCAUAAGCUCGCGUUGAUUACGUCCCUGCCCUUUGUACACACCGCCCGUCGCUACUACCGAUUGAAUGAUUUAGUGAGGUCUUCGGACUGGUGGUGAGCGGCUACCGUUCACGCGGUGCCGAUGCCACCGGAAAGAUGACCAAACUUGAUCAUUAGAGGAAGU
rnacentral:rRNA from 1 species